CCUGCACCUGUGAGGGGCCGCAGUGCCAGUCGUGCUUUUCUCUCUCUGGUGCCGGCUGGGAAGUGCUGUUUUGCUCUUCAGACACCUGAAAGGACCCUGAAAGCUGCAAGUUGCAUAUAUUCUUGAGUUGCUUUAUCUACUCAUUUAAGGAUUGCAUGGGAAAAAAAACUGGGCUGCUAUACCUGGAGACAUGAGCAAGAACUGGAAUUCAGAACUGAUGAGGCCCCAGAAUUGGACAUGAUACUGCAGGUGGAGUCUCACAAGAGCAGAGCAGAAGGGCAGAAUCAGCUCCAUGGACCUGCUGGUCUCACUUCUCUUGAUGCAAGAUACUUCUUUUGAUACAAGAGAUAGUUGUUGCUAUCAGGGACAUCAGUAUGACUUUACUGAUGAUGACCUGGAAUAUAUGAUUAAUCAUGUUGACGUCUGCAGCAGGGAUGAGAUUUGGAGGCCACUCCUGGAAUACUCAGUAAGGAUCUCCCCUGGCCUAUCAACUGCCCCAAGAUGGAGCUGCAUGCAUUCCAUCUGCUCCUCUGCAUGGAGCAUGACUUCUCCUCACCUUUGCAGCCACCCUUUCCUGAAGAGCCUCUUUUUUCUUUUUCCCAAGUUCAAUUUGUGCAGACAUAAGCAAGAAGCUACAGCAAAACUAAGGAAAUGUGCAUGUAAUGUAAAGUAAGUCCUGCAGCUAUGAAGCUAUUUCAUUCUUGGAGGAACUUGAGUCUGGAUAGCCACCAAAGAGGGCAGGUUGUAUUGAUUUUAUGACAUUCACUCCACUAAGGGUUGCUUUGUUUUCAUCAACAAUAGUAUCAGUUAUCCUAAUUUCUGGAAGCAAUGCAAAUGUUUACUCCAAAAGGUAUAAACAUAUAUAAUGUUUACUGUCUUGUAAACCACAAAGAGUUAGUAAAUACAUUUUGUUCCAUACUUUGUUAUCUGUAUAAAGCUACACUGUACAAGGCUGUCAUCUAGGUCAAAGAGAGAGGAACAAUGUGAGAUAAUGAAAAGAGUAGUAAAUACAAGUUAUUACUUAAUAGGCUCAUGUAAUUACCAAGGGUGGGGGUAGAAAAAAAUGGUGUUAUCAGUGGUAAAUAGAAUAAGUAAAAGAAAGGUGGUGGGUUUUUAUUUUGUUUGUUUGUUUGUUUUUAAUUUAAAAAAAAAAUAGAUCUGGGGUUAAAGAUAAUAUUUUUAAUAACUUGUGCAAAAAAUAACAGUUAUGACAGGAUUUGAAAUAAAAAUUGUUUCUAGUCCUUAUGAAACAAAGGUUAGCAGCUAUAAAUGGGGAGGAUGAGAGGAAACGUUUACUAAAGUGCACCAUGUGUAAUCAUCAAGCCUAAAUUACUUAAAUCCAGGAGUCAUAGAAAUCUAUGUAGUCCCAGACCACAAAUAAUUGUAUCAGUAACUAAUAAUAAAUAUUAGUAACAAGAGUUGCACCAAAAAAUUGAGGUUGUAAAAUUCCAGUAUGGGAUGAAGUGAAAAUCAUAAUUUGGGAAUAAUAAUGUAUCAAGAUUAAUGUUUAUUCUAGGUAAGAAAUGAUUGAGUUGGAACUUUAAAUAAGACUGGUUAUUACAAUACUGAUUCUUACAUUACUUGUCUGUUUUGGUGGAAGAUGUCCUCUGAAGCUUUCCUUUCUGUAUUUGUUUGAUCUGACAGACUUGCAGACGUGGUCAAAACUCUCAAAGAGAGUCAGUAUCAUAAUGUCUAUAUUUCUCCAUCAAAUAUGGAGAAAAUCUCUAUUUUGAUUAAAAGCUUUCAUUAUGUUCAUUAACAAAGUAUAUUGCAGAAUAACUCCCUCAGAAAAGGCAAAUUUAAGUUGCUAGUGGGAAAAAUAAGGUACUGGGUUGUUACUGAGGAAUUAAUUUUUAUUGGAGACAUAUACUCCAAUUGGUGGAGUUACGUAUAGAAUUUUCAUUGAAGUUUUCAAAUGAUACAACAUUUGUGAGGUAGAAAAUGAUGAGAAGGAUGAGAUACUGAUGCAGAGCAAGCUAUAAUUCGCACUGAUGACCUAACUGCUCAGUAGCAGCCAUGCAAGUGGAGCAUAUUCCAUGCAUGAGCCCAUCCUCCCUCAGGGCAAAAGUUAGAACUGUAUUAUCUCUUCCUCUCUUCCUCCAGUGCAUCUGGUCUCAAGAAUGACCUGGAGCACUUAAUUAAGUGGCCACAAUUGAAUACUGAAAUGCAUAGUGAUAUGCAUUUCAAAAUGAAGACCACACACUGUGCUUACAAAGUUGGAGCUCCUAUGUUGAAAUACAGUCAGUUAAAAAGAGUUUUAAUGGUUAUUAUGAGUAGUCACACUAUUUAAAUUCAUUUCAGAGUUGAUUCAAGAAAUGCACGCCAAUAAUGAACAAGCUAAAGAAAGAGAGAACCUCGCUAAUUAAAAGAUUCUGCAUUUUUUUACCUAGCUGUUCUAAAAGUACCACAGUUCAAAAGGAAUAUAAAACUGAUCAAGUGGGAAUAAAGAAAAUUCAAGAAACACAUCCAGAAUUCGGAAAAUCAAGCCCUUUGCCAUAAAGAGUUGUCUUAUGAAAGAUGAAGUUGAAAGACUUUCUUUCUCUUCAGAAGUGCUUAUAUAUGGUUGCAUUCAGAAAUUGUGAUGCAUGAAAGUUCUUUCUAUUCAAAGACCAGUAACACAUUAGAGAAAUAUAUUGCUUAAAUGGAGUUAUGGUUUCAUAGUAGUCUGACAGAUGAUGCAGAAAUGCAACUUAUCAUUCAGAAUUUUUGAUGUAGUAGAACAGCUUUGUAAUAUGUGUAGUAUCUAAUUCAACUUUUUGGAAGAAAUCUUCAGCCUGUGUGCACUGAGGGAUCACACUAUAUCUUUGAGGUGGUCUCCUGCACAUUUCUGGGGCAUUUAGCGAUAUUCUUUUUACUCUAAAUACUCUCAUAAAACUUAGCUUGAGAUACCUGUAGCAUUUAUCAGUCAGUCUCAUGCUUCAGAGUUAAUUAGUCAUUGACUAAUCAGAAAUUAAUACUGGUUUAGCCUUCUGCAGGUUUAUUGCUUUGCCCUGAAUUGCUGGAUCUUUCUCCCUUCUGAAGCACUGUAUUGGGGUUGGGUUUGUUUUUGGUUGGUUGGUUUUUUGUUUUCCAGGUGAAGAUAAGAUGAUAAACUGUGGAUUCUGAAGGGUAUUAGAAUUACUGUUCAGCUUGGAUCAGAGUAGAGCAAGCCUUUCUUCAGCAUUCUCUGUGGUCAUAAUGUCAAUCAGUGCCAAAGAGAAAGAGGUGACUGACUGGCUGAUCAAUGAAUAUGCAUGGAUCCUAACAGUAAAGGAGCUCCUGGUGGGCUCUGAGGUGCCUGUUUUUCACUGUUGUAGCAGAAAUGCUAAGUCAUAGCCUGAACCAGUGAUUGAGCACCUGGUGGAAGGCAGGGCCAACCCAGGGGAGCUCAGCUGCAUGUGGAGCACCUGAGUGAUUGGAAGGCAUGGAGCCAGGAUCCACCCCUUCCCAGACUUCAUUUAAGGGUUAGCAGUGGAGGUGAGGAUAUCUUGUUGGAGGUUACUGCUUACUGAAGGUCUUCACAAGUGUAUGCUGGUGGAACAAUACCAAGUUAUCUCUCAAACUUCCAAAGCUGGCUGGAGCUGGAUGUAAGGUUUUUACAAGGUAACCACCAAAAGCAGUAAAGUGAAAGCUACAGAACUGGCAGACAUCGGUAUCUAAUAGCUGGUGUCCUUCCUCCUUUCCUGCUGUUACAUAUGCUCUGUGAAAUGGUGUCAAUGAACAGAAGACAACCAAGCCUGCUUUUUCUUUUCCCAACUCAUCAUACAGUGUACCUUGUCUCACCUCCCAGCAAACUGACAGCAACCUGUACCCAACAUGAAAAAAAAAAAUAAGCAGAUAGCACUCAAGCAGCAAAAUCAACAUUCUUAUUCUUCAGUUAAUGACUAAUGUGAGCAAGAUGAGGUCCAGCAGCACUCCAACAGAACAGAAGAGAGUCCUUUAUUCCCAAAGCAUCAAUGAUAUGGUCAAUAGUUAAAUCCAAUAAGUGAUAUUUUUCCCCUCUUCUUGAACCUAAAAAUUAAGAAAUGAGAGCUCUACAGCUCUUUUUCUUACCUGUAUAUGAAUUACUUGACUGACAUUGCCUUUCAAAAAGAGCUGCAAAUAUGUUAAGCCAGGAGGGUAAAGAAAAUGAAUCCUACUCAUUAAUUAGCAUUACUACAUAGUCCAAGUAUGCACAAUGUGGAUUUGAAGAUGGAUCUCCACCUUUUACGUAUAACCUGGCAGGCGUACAAGUGACAAUGUAUCGUAGCAUUUUGUGUAAACCCUUGUGAAAGUUCUGUCCUUGGUGAGAUACAGAUCUAGGAGAACCAACAUACAGAUGGACAGGCGAUCAAGAAAAAAACAAACAGGAAAUAGCAGGCUGAAGAGAAGAUACACACAUGCAAAGAAAUAGUGCUUAAGUUCUUCUAAGGUCUGAUAAGAGGAGACUGAUGGUCCAGCUGAACCUGCAAAAAGUGAUAGAACUCCAAAUUGUACUGAAUUUUUUCAAAGCAACUGGUACAUAGUAGCAUCAACAAUAGGUUGUAUCACAUGGAUCAUAGCCAGGAGGGUAGAGGCUGCAGUAUUCUGACAGACCCUGGUGUAAUACAUGCACCCUAAUGGGUCUCCCAGACCUACCUCUAGGCCACUCUUUCAGUUGGCCUCCAGCUGUUACUCCAUCCACAUAACUGUGAGUAACCCUAUGAGAGCAUGUGUGUGUCUGAACUGUAAAUGGAUGUAUGGUGUGAAUUAUUAAUUAUUAUAAAGCUGUGGCUAAUAAUGAAAGCUUGAGUCUAUUCAUAAUAUAAAUAUAUGUGAACCUAAGUAGUAAAAGGUGUUUUAAUAAAUAUUGGUCAUGAUCUGUCUCCCCAGCUUGAUUGCCUACCAGAGAAAAUGGUAUUUAUAAUAAUGAAAUUUCCUUUCUACUUGGAAAAGACAGGAGAUGAACCAUUGAAUUCAGCAUGCUAGGUAGCUGCAGAGAGGACCCUCCCCCCUUCAUCUAAAUGUUGAGCAGUAGCUUUAUUUCCUGAAUGUACCCAUCCAUUAUCUUCUACUGACAAUAAACACCUUACAAUUUCUUUUUAGUAAGAUCCUUAUGAGCCUUCAGUUCAUGUUAAGUUUAAAAGGGUCGUAUUCCUUUGUUUUGACAGUGCAAAGGAUUCUGGUUUACUUUUAGCUGUUUUUGAAGCUUAAUUGGAGCCAGAAGGCUGGAUCAUCAGUAGACAUAAUGUAUUAUCAUUAACUUCAUGAGGCAAUUUCUCAUGUACAAUUUUGCUAGUGCAGACAUUCUAGCUUUUAGUUUAAUUGAAUUUGUUGAUAAAUCUGUCAUGACAUGCUUUCUAUAUACGAUCCUUCUACAAAAAUACUUUUACAGAAUAAAAUUCAGUUCAUGAAUGGGAUUGGAGAAAAAGCUCAUAUACAGUUUAAUCAUAUUUAACUGGUUUCUAAUAAGCAGUAGAAAUUACUUACAUUGGUCCUCUCUUCAUUUAUAAUUUUCUCAUUAACAUUUGAAAAAUAAGUAGUGAGAAACAAACCCUAUGCUGAGAUCACACAUUUCAGCAAAUGUUUUCUUUAAAUAUUACCAAAUUUGUCAUCACUGAAAAUGGAAUAAUUUCCAUUUCACCCAUGAGGGCAGUAAACAAAUGUACUAUUGCCUGUGGUGUCUUUGUAUUAGUAUUUCAGUUUCUGUACUUGUCCCCAAGGCCAAGGAGCACGACUUUAUGUUGCCAACGUGCUGUGUUUCAUCAGGUUGUGUCUUAGUAUAUACAUGUUACUUUAGAUCUAAGUAGACGUGACAGAAGGUAACAGACUAUACUGUGGUGCUGCAGUGUCAGCCUGCGCACCAGAAAGAUUAGAAAAUACAGUGCUGUAAGCACGUUGACUGGAAAGGAGAGAGCAAACAUAGCCAACAUCGAGUUUUUUUGACAUGAAGUCAAAUAAUUGGAGCGCACAUGCUCCUUCAUUGAAAAAAAAAUAAAUAAAUAAAACCCACCACCUUGUUACUGCUGUGAGAAUAACAGUUUGCUUUUCGUUUUGGUUUGGCAGCAAGUGAUCAUCACCCUCAAUUGAACUGAAGGAGACAGCAAGGCAGACUCACAUACAUUGUUACUGGAUAAAAGCUUGGUGCCAACAAGUAUGUAUACUGCAUUAUCCACUUCCAAAAACAAUGCCACGCAAUAACUAUUGUACAUACAUCAUGUGUAAGUAUCACAGAACUCGAAGGAAUCUGCAGAUCCAAUGAUCCAUGAAGAAGAAAAAAAAAAAUAGGUAUUUCACUCCAUCGAUCAGUAAGCUAAAUAGAUUUAAUGAAACUACUUAUAGAGGUUAUUUUUAACAUAGGCCAAGCUACAUCUGAUCUUGUUUUCCACUCCUCUAGCAGUCAUAUGGCUUUAUAAUUUUACUUGAAAAACUACACAGAAAAACAGUCUUGAGGCCAUAACAGUUUAAUUUAACAUGUUAGACAGUAGCCAGAUAUCCGCAUGCUCUUAUCAGAAUCAUUAAUAUGCUAUGUGAAAACACGAACAACAAAAAUCCCUCAUUUAUUCUCCCUGCAUAUCAGCAGGAUUAACGUCAAAAGCUCUCCAACUUCCUCAAUAAAAUGUUUCUUGUUUUUGCUAUGACAAAUGAGAAAGAAAUCUCAGCCUGAACUUUUUCAUCUGCAGAUUAUUUUCUUUUGUGAUUUGUAUUUUUUGACAGCUCCAGGUAGAGCAGAGGUAAUACCAAUCACCCAUCCUUGUUGGCAGAAAGGCAGCAGAAAACUACAGAUUGAUACAAAAUCCUAAUUCUCAAUAUCCUAUUCUCAUCUCAAGUUUUCCUUCCUAUACUCUGUGAGUUAAAAUGGUGAUGUGAUUCCAUUAAAAUAACGCUAGGACAUGGGUUAAAGAUCUCUCUGACAUUGUUUGUUACUUUACCGGUGGAGAGACCUGUGCAAAUAAUCACUCUCAACAUGGACUACCAAGUAUGUGGAUGCACAUCAUCAGGGACUUUGUAGUACAGAGUCUCUACCCUGGAGAGGCAAACUAAUUCUAUUUGCUCUUUCUUUCCAUAGAGGAUAAUAGCAGUUCUUCCUUGUCCUUCAGAAAUGUGCAAAGGCAUUGUUAAUACAGUUCGCUCUCUUUAUUCUGGAGUUUAUUAAAAAGCUAUUUUCUUGAAUUAGAUCUGAAAUCUCUACUUUCACAGAACUGUCUGGACCUAAUCGUGGCUAAAAUCAGGAGCUAAAAAUGAAUGCCUGGGAAAAAGAAAUUGAGAUUGCAAUUUAAAAUUAUUAACCCUAGAUCAAAAAUAACAGUUAUUUUUGUAUUAAAUCUUCUUCCCUUUCCAAAGCCACACAAUACAGCUAGGAAAAAUAGAGGAAAUCAUAGAGUAUUGAAAGAAAAUCCUUCACUUCUCCAGCCUUACAAACUGUACUCCAUAAGAAUAUUUUUAAUGCAGGAUUAAUCAGUAUCUAGAGUAAAUGAAAUAAUUAUUUAUGCAGAGGUUUUUUUCAGAUCAUUUUGCUCUUCUUCAGAAAAUGGAUGAGAAUGGGAAAGAGGUAUAAUUUUAAGUUAAGUAGUCUUAAUGCUUCUGUGCUAGGAAUUCCCAAAUUCAUUCAUUUUCUCUUGCAAGCAAUAUAAUUUUGCUUGUGAAUUAACUAAUGCCAAGAAUAAUAUCACUAAAAUGAAAGGACCUUAACAACUAUUCUCAGUGACAAAGCUACAAUAUUCAGUUCAGCUAGACUAAAAUACUCUUUAUGAGCUAGAUACAGCCAUCUAGAACAAUCACAGCAGUUACAAAAGAAGGUGACCAGCAGUUUCAAAAGACAAACUUUUUUUCUUUCCUUACCCACACUCAGUGACAAAUCUCUUAAUACCAGUCUGAGAGUUUCAAGCUGAUACAUUCUAGAUUUUUGAUAGCUAAACACAGUCAUUGUACAGCCCCAAAGCUGACUUUAAUACUAAAUAAUAAUAAUAAUAAAAAUCUAAGAACCAACAAAUAAUGAAGUUACUAUCAUUCAUAGACCUGCUGCGGCUCUCAGGUCCUUAUUGAAAAUUUCCAAGACAAGUCUUCCUAGAAAAUUCCAUAGAAUAUUUGUUGCAACUUGUCCUAAUGCUUUCCUUCAUAUUUCAUUUGCUCAAAGUUAGUGUAGCUACAUUAAGCUCAGACCUUCUGAGUCAUCUUAACUGGCUUUCAACCAUUCAACAUACUACGCUUCAGUGUGUGUACUGUAUAGGCAACACCAUGUGAUUUUAUAUUUAGGACUCUCUACAUCAUACUGUGAUUCUGGAUCGUAAUGUCUCCCAGAGCAGCAGUAAUACUAGAUUCAUGCAGUCACCUACAACAUUUUCUGCACUUCAGAAAUCAAAUUUCAAUUAGUAUAAAAGAAGACAAGAGGAAAACCAUUUUUUCCAUCUUCCUUCUGGAUUUAAAUUGAUCAUUUGAUUAAAGUGCUGUGGAAUCUUGUUUUUCUUUUUUCUUUUUUUUUUUUUAAUUUCAUCUGUAGUUAUUCAGUGUUUCUGAAAAUGCUUUACCUUUCCCAUAGAUAUGUAAAUUCUGUUUCUUGAACUACUAGUACCACAGUGGAUAGUUUUAAUUCUUUUUCUCCCUUCACAUCUCUGAAUAAGACUUCCUGCAGUCAUUCCGGCACUAUUACGACCAACUGUGAAACUUCAUCUGAGUAUGAAGUCUUUGUAUCCUGAUCUAAGUUUUCUAGUUAAAUUUGUGUCUGUAUGAAGUCCCAGUUAUACCCAUCAUAUGUUUAGAUUUACAUUCCUACAAAAUAAAGUACCGUAGAAGCACUGAUGAGUUUGAUAGCAUACAAGAUAUGCUCUCUCAUAUGAAACUGAUUUCUGAAACAAACAAACUUAAACAGACAGUACUUUGAAGUACUAUUUUCAUCUCAUUAUAUCAUUUCUGUUGUAUGAUGUCUUCUAUCCUCAAAUAUAUUGGUUUGUCAAUUAAAUAAUAGUCUCCUUAAAUUAGUAAUUUGAAACAAAUCAGUUACAUAUGUUAAAUACAAGAGUCUCUAUGAAAACUAAUUGGAUUGUAUAUGGAAUUUAUUGACUUGUAAUUAGAAUAUAUUGGUUUGUAUGUAGCAAAUUGUUUACACACUGUGUAUGCCGUCUGCUCUUAUCAGUAAUCAUCACAUUUAAA
ensembl:lncRNA